GAGACCUUUAAGUCAGUCCAGAGAGGCUGGCAAGGGAAAUAUGACAAACAGUUAUAGCUAUACAAAGCUUCCCUCAGAGGUUGCUUAUUUAAAAGCCUCUUGCCUCUCGGCAGGAGGUUUUUCUUAU
rfam:Chloroflexi bacterium RBG_13_48_17 RBG_13_scaffold_8660, whole genome shotgun sequence.